CUUCACAAUACCCCAGUAUGUGAAGACAUCGAGGAUGACAUAAUUUGGAAGCUCACUUCUAGUGGUCACUACUUCGCGACCUUUGCUUACCAAGUUCAGUUUUUGGGAACCAUACACACCUCCAUAAAUACAAUGGUUUGGAAGCUGUGGGCACCUUCCAAGGUCAAGUUCUUCGCUUGGCUUGCCAUUCAAGAUAGGAUUUGGACUGCUUGCCUAAGCGGGGAUGGCCACAUUUUGGUCUUUGUCCCCUAUGCAAAAGAGCAAAUGAAAGCGUGGCACAUCUGUUCUACAAAUGUUGCUACACUUUGA
rnacentral:rRNA from 1 species